AGCCGCCGCGGGAACACCGGCGGCCCGAGUGGUGAUCGUGAUUAUUGGGUCUAAAGGGUCCGUAGCCGGUUUGGUCAGUCCUCCGGGAAAUCUGAUAGCUCAACUAUUAGGCUUUCGGGGGAUACUGCCAGACUUGGAACCGGGAGAGGUAAGAGGUACUACAGGGGGUAGGAGUGAAAUCUUGUAAUCCCUGUGGGACCACCUGUGGCGAAGGCGUCUUACCAGAACGGGUUCGACGGUGAGGGACGAAAGCUGGGGGCACGAACCGGAUUAGAUACCCGGGUAGUCCCAGCCGUAAACGAUGCUCGCUAGGUGUCAGGCAUGGCGCGACCGUGUCUGGUGCCGCAGGGAAGCCGUGAAGCGAGCCACCUGGGAAGUACGGCCGCAAGGCUGAAACUUAAAGGAAUUGGCGGGGGAGCACAACAACGGGUGGAAGCCUGCGGUUUAAUUGGACUCAACGCCGGACAACUCACCGGGGGCGACAGCAAUAUGUAGGCCAAGCUGAAGACUUUGCCUGAAUCGCUGAGAAGAGGUGCAUGG
rnacentral:rRNA from 1 species